CGUCCAGACUCCUACGGGAGGCAGCAGUGGGGAAUAUUGGACAAUGGGGGGAACCCUGAUCCAGCGACGCCGCGUGAGUGAAGAAGUAUUUCGGUAUGUAAAGCUCUAUCAGCAGGGAAGAAAAUGACGGUACCUGACUAAGAAGCCCCGGCUAACUACGUGCCAGCAGCCGCGGUAAUACGUAGGGGGCAAGCGUUAUCCGGAUUCACUGGGUGUAAAGGGGGCGCAGACGGCGAUGCAAGCCAGGAGUGAAAGCCCGGGGCCCAACCCCGGGACUGCUCUUGGAACUGCGUGGCUGGAGUGCGGGAGGGGCAGGCGGAAUUCCUGGUGUAGCGGUGAAAUGCGUAGAUAUCAGGAGGAACACCGGCGACGAAGGCGGCCUGCUGGACCGCGACUGACGUUGAGGCUCGAAAGCGUGGGGAGCGAACAGGAUUAGAUACCCUAGUA
rnacentral:rRNA from 1 species